rnacentral:rRNA from 1 species
AGCGAACGCUGGCGGCAGGCCUAACACAUGCAAGUCGAACGAACCCUUCGGGGUUAGUGGCGGACGGGUGAGUAACACGUGGGAACGUGCCUUUAGGUUCGGAAUAACUCAGGGAAACUUGUGCUAAUACCGAAUGUGCUCUUCGGGGGAAAGAUUUAUCGCCUUUAGAGCGGCCCGCGUCUGAUUAGCUAGUUGGUGAGGUGAUGGCUCACCAAGGCUACGAUCAGUAGCCGGUCUGAGAGGAUGACCAGCCACAUUGGGACUGAGACACGGCCCAAACUCCUACGGGAGGCAGCAGUGGGGAAUCUUGCGCAAUGGGCGAAAGCCUGACGCAGCCAUGCCGCGUGGAUGAUGAAGGUCUUAGGAUUGUAAAAUCCUUUCACCGGUGAAGAUAAUGACUGUAGCCGAAGAAGAAGCCCCGGCUAACUUCGUGCCAGCCGCCGCCGUAAGAC